CCUACGGGAGGCAGCAGUGGGGAAUAUUGCACAAUGGGGGGAACCUUGAUGCAGCAACGCCGCGUGGAUGAAGAAGUACUCCGGUAUGUAAAGCCCUGUCAGCAGAGAAGAAAAUGACGGUACCUGACCAAGAAGCCCCGGCUAACUACGUGCCAGCAGCCGCGGUAAUACGCAGGGGGCAAGCGUUAUCCGGAUUUACUGGGCGUAAAGGGUGCGUAGACGGGUAGGCAAGUCAGGAGUGAAAGCCCGUGGCCCAACCACAGGACUGCAUUGGAAACUGUGUUGCUGGAGUGCAGGAGAGGUAAGCGGAAUUCCUAGUGUAGCGGUGAAAUGCGUAGAUAUUAGGAGGAACACCGAUGGCGAAGGCGGCUUACUGGACUGUAACUGACGUUGAGGCUCGAAGGCGUGGGGAGCAAACAGGAUUAGAUACCCUUGUAGUC
rnacentral:rRNA from 1 species